AGGCCUUAUAGUUGAAAAACAACAGUGAAUUGCAGAUUCAUAGGUACAUAAUAUAACUGUUGGGGCUUA
rnacentral:tRNA from 1 species